CUGUUGGCUGUGGGUUCCUGGCACUGUCUCUUAUUGCUGGGUGGCCAGGCUGCACCUGGAGAGGACCCUUGCCCUCAAAGCCCCAGUACAUGGUUGUAUAUUCUAGUUGUAAGUCGUUCCAGUUCUUCCAUGUGAGCCACCACCACAGCAUGGCAACUGGCAGAUAGAUGUUGUGGUUCUGUGACCAGAAAGUGAACCCAGGCCACCAAGAAGUGAAGACAGGGAGGCUUAGAGACAUGAAGUAGCUCACCAGGGUGACACAACUGGGAAGGGGCAGAGUUGAGAUUCAAACCCAGGUCUACCUGACCCUAUAGUUUGAGUGAAAGAAGAUGGAUUAGGACAUUUCCCUCUUCUUUCAGCUCUAUUGCCCCCUCCAGUUCCUUCCCUGUCCUCUCAUAAAUGAAGCACAGACUGAAGAUAAAACAGAAGAUCCUGUUUUGGAAGGUUUUUCAUCCUCUCAGGAGGAAUGAGACGAGGGUCCUCUGAACAAGCCAUGAAUGUUGGUCCUCCAUGCAUCCCACUCCAUGUUCCUCGCAGUGUUUCCUGAGCUUAUGCACAUC
rnacentral:lncRNA from 1 species